rnacentral:rRNA from 1 species
GCUUGCUGCAUGCUUUAUACAUGCAAGUCGAACGGAGGCCCUAGCUUGCUAGGUGUCCUUAGUGGCGCACGGGUGAGUAACACGUGGGAACAUACCUUAUAGUACGGAAUAACUGCGGGAAACUGUAGCUAAUACCGUAUACUCCAGUAAUGGGAAAGAUUUAUCGCUAUAAGAUUGGCCCGCGCAAGAUUAGCUUGUUGGUGAGGUAAAAGCUCACCAAGGCUUCGAUCUUUAGCUGGUUUGAGAGGACGAUCAGCCACACUGGGACUGAGACACGGCCCAGACUCCUACGGGAGGCAGCAGUAGGGAAUAUUGGACAAUGGGGGCAACCCUGAUCCAGCAAUGCAGCGUGAGUGACGAAGGCCUUAGGGUUGUAAAACUCUUUCAUCGGUGAGGAUAAUGACAGUAGCCGAAGAAGAAGGACCGGCUAAUUCCGUGCCAGCAGCCGCGGUAAUACGGAAGGUCCUAGCGUUGUUCGGAAUUACUGGGCGUAAAGCGCAUGUAGGCGGAACAGAAAGUUAGAAGUGAAAUCCCUGGGCUCAACCUAGGAAUUGCUUUUAAAACUUCUGUUCUGGAAUUCAGGAGAGGAAAAUGGAAUUUCCAGUGUAGAGGUGAAAUUCGUAGAUAUUGGAAGGAACACCAGUGGCGAAGGCGAUUUUCUGGACUGAUAUUGACGCUGAGAUGCGAAGGCAUGGGUAGCAAACGGGAUUAGAUACCCCGGUAGUCCAUGCAGUAAACGAUGGGUGCUAGUCGUCGGACUUUUGUUCGGUGUCGUAGCUAACGCGUUAAGCACCCCGCCUGGGGAGUACGGUCGC